UGGGGAAUAUUGCGCAAUGGGCGAAAGCCUGACGCAGCGACGCCGCGUGAGGGAUGAAGGUUUUCGGAUCGUAAACCUCUGUCAGAAGGGAAGAAACCGCACUGUGCUAAUCAGCAGUGCCUUGACGGUAUCUUCAAAGGAAGCACCGGCUAACUCCGUGCCAGCAGCCGCGGUAAUACGGAGGGUGCAAGCGUUAAUCGGAAUUACUGGGCGUAAAGCGCACGUAGGCUGCUUUGUAAGUCAGGGGUGAAAUCCCACGGCUCAACCGUGGAACUGCCUUUGAUACUGCUUAGCUUGAAUCCGGGAGAGGGUGGCGGAAUUCCAGGUGUAGGAGUGAAAUCCGUAGAUAUCUGGAGGAACAUCAGUGGCGAAGGCGGCCACCUGGACCGGUAUUGACGCUGAGGUGCGAAAGCGUGGGGAGCAAACAGG
rnacentral:rRNA from 1 species